AUAAACUCCGUCGUGUAUAUAAACACUGCACUUCCUAUAAAUCAAUCAAUUGUACAAACAACUAGAACACGGAAACAGAGAGCUAUAGCCCAGUAAUUGUGUGAGGAGAAGAAAAAUGGAGAAUACUGAAAAGAAAGCUGCCUCCUGCAAACGAGUUCACUGUUUGGUCUUAUCUUAUCCAGCACAGGGCCAUAUAAACCCUCUGCUCCAGUUCGCCAAGCGCUUAGAACACAAAGGCCUCAAAGUCACACUAGCUACCACCUAUUUCAUAUCCAAAUCCUUACAUAGAGAUUCAUCAUCGCCGUCCACCUCCAUUGCUCUCGAGGCAAUCUCCGAUGGCUACGACGAAGGAGGGUCUGCACAAGCAGAGAGCGUUGAAGCUUACUUGGAGAGGUUUUGGCAAAUUGGCCCUCGAAGCCUUUGUGAACUUGUUGAGAAUAUGAAUGGCUCAGGUGUCCCUGUCGACUGCAUUGUGUACGAUUCAUUUUUGCCUUGGGCUCUCGAUGUUGCUAAGAAGUUUGGGCUGGUUGGAGCCGCAUUCCUCACUCAAUCUUGUGUUGUUGAUUGCAUAUAUUACCAUGUGAACAAGGGCUUGCUCAAGCUUCCACUUCCAGACAGUCAAUUAUUGUUGCCUGGAAUGCCUCCACUUGAGCCUCAAGACAUGCCUUCAUUCGUUUACGAUUUGGGGUCAUAUCCUGCUGUUUCUGAUAUGGUGGUAAAAUAUCAAUUUGAUAAUAUUGACAAAGCUGAUUGGGUUCUUUGCAACACAUUUUAUGAGCUGGAGAAAGAGGUAAUUAUAAGUUUUUCAAAAAUUUCACUUUGUCCUAGUUUACACGUAUGAGCCUGGAUUCAAAUUCCAAGCUUUUAAUUAUGUCACAAGAUUUUAAUUACCAAUUGAUCUAACGAAAAGUCUCGUAAAAUGCUUGUUGACAUCAAUUGACUUUCAAUCUAUUUUGUGCAGCUAGCUCAAUGGCUGGGUAAACAUUGGUCAUUGAAGACAAUUGGACCAACAAUACCAUCUAUGUACCUCGAUAAGCAAAUUGAAGAGGACAAAGACUAUGGUUUCAGCAUCUUUAAGCCAAAUAAUGAAUCUUGCAUCAAAUGGUUAAACGAUCGGGCAAACGGGUCUGUUGUUUAUGUAUCAUUUGGGAGUAUGGCAACACUAAAAAUAAAGGAAAUGGAAGAAUUGGCUUGGGGUCUGAAAGCAAGUGACAAGUAUUUCUUGUGGGUUGUAAGGGAAUCCGAACAAUCUAAGCUUCCGGAAAACUUUGCAGAAGAAACAUCCCAGAAAGGCUUGGUUGUGAAUUGGUGCCCGCAAUUAGAAGUUUUGGCACAUGAAGCAACAGGAUGCUUUUUGACACAUUGUGGCUGGAACUCUACAAUGGAGGCCCUGAGCUUGGGAGUGCCAAUGGUGGCAAUGCCACAAUGGACUGAUCAGAGCACUAAUUCCAAGUGCAUGAUGGAUGUCUGGAAAACGGGACUUAAAGUUCCAGCGGAUGACAAAGGAAUUGUCAGAAGAGAAGCAAUUGCACAUUGCAUUCGUGAAAUAUUAGAGGGUGAGAGAGGCAAAGAGAUAAGACAGAAUGCUGGUAAAUGGAGCAAUUUUGCCAAAGAAGCCGUGGCUAAAGGUGGAAGUUCGGACAAAAAUAUUGAUGACUUUGUUGCCAACUUGAUUUCCUCCAAAAGCUUUUAAUAUCUUUAAUUUUGUUGGAUUUUUGUAAUAUCUUUAAUUUGUAAUACUUUUUACCAAAGCAAGGACAAAAAUAAAAAUUAUAAUGCUAGCGGGUGCUUGUUUCUACUUGUACCAAAACAAUAUCGCAGGUUUAAUUUUCUGAUACAAUCAUGUCAGUAAUUUCUGAAAUUUUGUUAAUAAAAUACACGAAUUAUGGUAAAUAAUUUCAAUAAUUUAGGGCAUGUUUGGAAGUGUGAUGUUGUAUCUUGCUUGGAAGGGGAAAAAAAAAAUCCAUAUCUAUCAUGGGGCUUUGGUAUAACUAGAAUCAGUAGUUGUAUGGUAAAAAUUGAUGAAAUUUAUGAGGGUGGAUAUAUUUGAACCUAUCAAAAUACCCUUCAAACCCAUCUUUACUUGAAAAUAUUUAUUACCAAAAUAUCCAUUAAUGAAUUUACUAUUAAGGACAAAAUUAUGCAAUUAAAUGAAAUACUUUACUUUGUACACCAAUUUCUAAACUCUUUUUUAGUUUAUCAUCCACCUAGAAUUAUACGGACUUCUCUAAUUCUUUUUACGAACGUCUCUACAAACAAUUAAACUAUACAAUUAAAUAAAAUAAAUCUAAUUCUUAUAUUGAUAUUUCUACGUUAUUAGAACCUCCUAUAUUUGAUUUUCUAAUUGGGCGAAAGUCAACUUUUAUGCGUAAAGGAAUUCAAGUUACGUGGCUCAUUGCAAAACAAUGGCUUCAAACCUUCAACAACUAAAAAAUGGAUUUUGAUCCUAUGUAACUAAUCUAAGUUAUAAAUUUAAAUGGCCACUCGGCUUAUCUACUGCCCUUAUAAGCAUGAGGGCAACGAUUUAAGCCCCCACAAAAGCAUUGUGGGGACUAAAACAUUCAUAAGUCCUUCUCCCUUGCGCAAUGUGAGUGAAAAAGAGAUAUUUCUCGUCUGUGAGGGAUGUGAGGGUUAUUUGUCUCGGCAUGUACUCUAUAGAAUUUAAUGUAAUAAUGUAAGUCUCAAUUAUGUAUAUCUGAUUGUAAAUAUCAGUGUAAUGUCUGUUAUAAUAGCAGUUGUAAAUAUCUGUGUAAUGCAGUAAUCUGAUGUGUAAUCAGUAUUAAAAAAAGUUAUAGUUUUAAAUGACGACUUCAAUUAUCAUUUUAAUUUUUCUAUUUGUUAGAGAUAACUCUGAAAUUGAUGGCUAGAGACAUAAUCAUAGAGAGAGAAAUUUAUUUUUCAAAAUUUUUAUUUAUUUGAUUUGUUUAAAUAAAUUCAAUCCCAAAUGCUUACAUAUUUGUUUGGCUGAAAAGUUCCAAGACUUAAAUUUUGUUUGAUUGAUUUAGAUUAAACAUAAUUUUUAUAAUUUUAUUAAGUUAAAUAGAAAAAUCCAACCAGUUGAUAUCUCUAAGUUAAUGAUGUUUAAUGGAUGUAUGUAGUAAUUAUAUUAGGAUAGAAUUUGGUUGUUAAGGAUAUAUUUGGUGUUGUAAUAGGUGGUAAUGUAGAGUAAAAUUUUAACUUUCAAAUUUCAAUAAUGGGUUUAAAAAGUAUUUUAGUAAAUUCAGAUAGCCUCACCCAAUUUAUAAAUAUAAUUUAAUAGUUGUACUUAUUAUUAAAACUCUAUUCAGUUUUGUUGCAACAACUCCUUUGAUUUUGAAUAUGAAUAUUAAUCAAGUAUACAAGAUUUUUUGCUUCAAUAAAUUUGGCACAAUGUGAACUCCAUUGAGCUUCCCUGUCGUGAUAUAUUUUUCAUUCACUCCAUUGAUUUGGUACUGAACAAUUAACGGGGACAAUUAGUAAAAGCAAUAUGAGACAAAGGUCAAAGUAUUAGCAGUACUAUCAUCAUCUAAUUAUUUACUUUGGCCUGAUGCAAUCCUCUACAAAUACGCAAGUAAUGACUUCGAAUACAUAUAAUGCAAAGCUAUUUUAGGAUUGUAAUUUUUUACUUGUGUGGCCUAUAUAUCCAUGCUUCUUACUAAAUAGAUUAAACAUAGGUGUAUUUGUAGAUCUGCUGGCAUUGCAUGUGAAAAAACAAUAGUGUGUCCAAUUUAAUAGUAUAACAUGCAUAGUUUAAUUGUCAAGAAGCAUAUGUUGAAAGAGUUCUUGAAAAAUUUAACAUGGACAAGACAAAAUCUAUUUGUUUUUCACUUGCAGGCCAUUUCAAGCUUAGUUCUGACUUCUGGGCAUUGUUCUACAAGUGAGAAAGAAAAGUAAGAGAUGAGAGGGGUUCCUUAUGCUUCGGCAGUUGGUAGUUUGAUGUACGCCAUGAUUUGUACAAGUCUAUAUAUUGCUCAUACAGUUGGUGUAGUCAGCAGAUUUCUCUCCAAUCUGGGCAAAGAACACUAGACAGCAGUGAAGUGGAUUCUCAGAUAUCUUAGAGGCACUUCUACGACAUGUUUAUAUUUUGGCGGUGACAAACUUAUGUUACAAGUGUACACGGAUGUAGAUAUAUCGGGAGAUGUUAAUUCCAAAAAAUACUUAUCAGGAUAUUUGCUCACCUUUGCAGGGGGAGCAGUCUCAUGGCAAUCCAGACUUCGGCAGUGUAUUACCUUAUCUACCAUUAAAACAGAGUAUAUUGCAAUUACUGAAGGUUGCAAAGAAACCUUGUGGAUAAAGAAUUUCCUACAAGAGUUGGAUGUGAAGCAAGACAACUUUAUUGUGUAUUGCGUCAGUAAUGUCAUUCAUUUGGAAAAGAAUUUGACAUACCAUUCAAAAUCUAAGGAUAUUAAUGUGAGGUAUCAUUGGAUACAAGACUUACUUUAGAAGAAACAGUUGCAAGUAGAGAAGAUACACACAACGAAGAAUAGGUCAGAUGUGAUGAUAAAGUCAUUGUCUAAGGAGAAGCUGAAAAGUUGUAUGUAGAAAGCAGGCUUGGUGGUGCCCCCCACAUGAUCUGGAGGGGGAGAUUUGUUGGGUCUAUCUCAUUUGGGGCCCAAAACCCCAAAGUCCAAAUAAGUUUGCUUGAUUUGUAAUUAUUACUAAGAUUUAGAUUUGAAUGAAAUUUGUCAUGUAAUUUAGCUAUAAAAGCAAGCAGCAGCCCUACUUAGGGAAAAGGAAAAUGAGAUUCUUACAACAGUUAGUACCACAGUUAGCACAAAAUAGUGCGCUUUGUGCUAACUAUAAAAAAGGUUACUGUGGCUUGCACGCGCACACACAGCUCCCACACUCUCUCUGAUUCUUGGCCUCUCUUCCCCACAGCAAACGAGAAAAACUCACACGACAGCCACACCAAAACGCAGUCGUUUCUCACGCAUCCUCACUCUACUCUUUGCUCUCUCUGUCAACUUUCUCCCUCUCUCUCGCCUUGGGUGUCUUCACGCCUGUUCGUUGGAUCUGUCUCUCUGUCUCUACUCAUCGAUUGCAUCCAUCACGACUUCAUCUCGUCGAUUGCAGUUGCAGCCUGACCAAAAGGAGAAUAAAUAUUUGGGCCAGUCCCACAUGAGCUGAAGACGAAAUCUUAGUUUGGUGUCCUUGCUUUUGCAGAGCAUUCUGCCUGAUUUUCAUGAUGGAUUUUGAUCUCUAAGCUUUUGGUUCUUAUUAUUGUGUUGAUUGAUACACACAAAAUUUCACAAUAUUUACUACUAAAUCAUUUGGUUUCUUGAGGCAAAUAAAAGUCAUCAUCUUCACUCUUGAAAACAAAGAUUUUCCUUAUAUUUUCUUUGUUACAAUAUAAUUCUUGACCUAUUGCUCUGUGCAAUUAUCUUAUCAACCACCAUUGCAAUUAGUAAUAGCUUUAGGUUAUUGAUGGAAUGUUUACGGACCCUUAAUCUUCUUUGAGCAAAGUAAUGCCUGAACUAUAACAAAGUACUGAUGAAAGUAUGACCAUUAAUAUUUUUAUAUAAAAAAAUGUUCAUCUCAGCCAAAAUCACAAUAACAAAAUAACUCCAGGAGACGAGUAUGGCAUUACAGAAGAAGGAUCGGAAGAACAAAUCUGUAAUUCUUUGUUCCUGAAAGUCUUUAAUAUUUAUUUUAUUAGCUUUUUCCCAAGUAGAGAUUACAUCACUAAAGAACUCCAUUGAACAAUUUCCAAGUUUGGCUUUUAAGAUUUCUGCUUAUAAAACUUAUGAAAAAAAAAAUCACGCAGAUUGGCUAUUGUCUGGUAGGAUUUGGGGGGUAGAGAGAGAGUCAAGCCACAAGUCAAUUUCUAAGAGAGACUAGAGAGUAAGGUGUCGUAAAGGAGUGAGACGCAUUCGACGGGGAAGAGAGACAGCCAACACGACGACUCUACAAAGGCAGCUAUGGAGAGACCCACGGCGGCUGUGGAUUUUGGGGAAGAGAGAGUGAAGUCGCAAGUCAAUGAAGAAAGAGAGAGAGAGAGACCCGACGGUGAGAAUGGAGCGUGGUGAGGGAGAAUCAGCUGGUGGUGAGAUUUGUGGAUUGAGUGAGAUGAGAUUUGUGGUGCUGUGAGUGAGGUGAGAUUUGGAACGUGGGCUUACAGAGCGUGUGUUGUGGGAGAUGCGUGUGUGUUGUGUGGGUUGCUCACCACCGUGAGAAUUUAUAAUGAGCACAAAACGCACCGUUUUGUGAUAACUGUGGUGCUAAAUGUUGUAAGAAUAUCGGUAUUGUACGGAAAAAGACGAGCGAGAGAGAGGAAAGUGGCAGCUCUUGUUUUAGGGAUAAGAUUUUUAAUUUUUAAUUGGGCAAUCAGAGGGUGAAAUUAAUUUUUUUUCUUAAAUUUUGAGGGUAAAUUUUUGGUAUUGUCCUCUACAAUUUUAUUGGUCUAAAUUUUUAUUUUAUCAUCUCUUUGGUUAUUUUUUAAGAUACCCACUUGUUAGAGAAAUAAUUAUUAAGCUGUUACUGUAAGUCAAUAAUAGUGAGAUUCUUGAUGUUGGUAGGCUCUAUUAUUAUCUAGAGAAUAAUUUAUGCAGUAAUCUCAUUAAUAUAGGGGAAUAUUAUUUUUUUUUGUUUUAACCACGAGCUAUCCUGGGAAGGGUCCCAACUAUGGGAGGCACCUUUAAGCCCGUACCACAACCCAGAUUAGAAGUCUCCGCUUGAACCGGGAGGCAGGUUCUCCUAACAAAGGCGACUUCCCUGCGACUCGAACUGAGGAGCAAACCCAGUCAAGCCACUUAAGGGGACUUUAUUGAAAUACAAGUAUGCAACCCAAGAGGGGGGGUGAAUUGGGAUUCUAAAAAAUUAUUCAAUUUAUUAAAGAAAAUCUUAAUGCAAUUAUAAAUCAAAUUCAAAGCAAUAACAAUUAAGAUGAUCACAAUAUAAAAAGAUAAGGGAAGAGGGAUUCAAACACCGAGAUUUUUACGUGGUUCGGCCAACCUCGCCUACGUCCACGCCUCCAAGCUUUCCGGGCUUGAGGAUUCCACUAAGCAAGCCUCCAAGGCUUCAAAUGCUUACACUUGACUUCCAAGGCGUCAAUGGACCUUUACAACAAGAGAUUAUCCCCAAUCUCUUAACCCAAGUGUAUCCCAACACUUACAAUCACUCAAAGUAAAAGAUUACAAACUGUUUUGCCUCUCACAAUAUAUAAGAUUACACAAUGAUGCUUAAUAUGUGAAUAGAUGAAGCAAGAAUGUGUUCUAAGCUCUAUGAAGAUUGUAUUCUCGAAUAUUAGCUCAAAUGGUCUUGUUGUGAUCAAUCUUUGUUUGAAUUUGAAUGAGCUUAUUUAUAGCUGCUGCUGAAAACUAGCCGUUAUUGACUUUCUGCACACUAUCAGAUCGCCGUUAGCUAGAUGUCGGAUCGCUGUUUUGACUGGUCAAUAUGACCGUUGGGCUGAUUUUUCAAAUUGUCGGAUCGCCGUUAUCUAGAUGUCGGAUCGCCGUUUAGGUCCAGAGGCUACUGGUUGAUAUCGGCGAGCCAUUUAUCACACAUGUCGGUUCGCCGUUUUGGUCCAGAGGCUACUGGUUGAUAUCGGCGAGCCGUUUAUCACACAUGUUGGUUUGCCGUUUUCGUCCAGAGGCUAAUCUCCAUUUCUUCUUGAAAUCGGCGAGCCGUUUACUACACAUGUCGGAUCGCCGUUUUCCACAAAAACUGCUGCAGUGAAUUAUUUUGCAAGAUGACUGUUUUGUCUCCAAAUCUUUAUAAAAAUACUUUAUGAAACUUGUCAAAAUAGAUGAAAAUUAUGUUGAGCUUUUAAAACGAUUAAUCAAUCUUAAUCAUGUUUGUUAUCAUCAAAAUCAAUAAAGAAUAAUUUAUGUUAACAUUCAUUGCCAAUGGAGCCAACACUUUAUUGGUUUAUAGUGGAAGAUUAUAUCGGACUACGGUCUCUUCUUUGAAUUUUCCACGUAAAACCUAUAUCUCUUGUGGUUGGUGUUUGCUUUGAAUUCAUUGGUUUAUUUUUUUGCCUAUUUAUUUAUGGUGCACAUCAUAUUUUAAUCAUACAAAAAGAGAAAAAAAUUUAUUUCCGCUUAAUUUACAACUGCUUGGUAGUCUUUUUCCCAACAAUUGAUAAAAAAAAUUACUUGUUUUAAUGGGCACCAGCCAUAAAUUCCGUCGUGAAUAUAAACACUGCACUUCCUAUAGAUCAAUCAAUUGUAUAAGCAACUAGAACACAGAGAGGGAGAGCUAUAUCUCAAGUAAUUGUGUGAGGAGAAGAAAAAUGGAGAAUAUUGAAAAGAAAGCUGCCUCCUGCAGACUAGUUCACUGUUUGGUCUUGUCUUAUCCAGCACAAGGCCAUAUAAACCCUCUGCUCCAGUUCGCCAAGCGCCUAGAUCACAAAGGCCUCAAAGUCACUCUAGUUACCACUUAUUUCAUAUCCAAAUCUUUACAUAGAGAUUCGUCAUCCUCGUCCGCCUCCAUUGCUCUCGAGGCAAUCUCCGAUGGCUACGACCAAGGAGGAUCUGCACAAGCAGAGAGUAUUGAAGCUUACUUGGAGAAGUUUUGGCAAAUUGGCCCUCGAAGCCUUUGUGAGCUUGUUGAGAAGAUGAAUGGCUCAGUUGUUCCCGUCGAUUGCAUUGUGUACGAUUCAUUUUUGCCUUGGGCUCUCGAUGUUGCUAAGAAGUUUGGGCUGGUUGGAGCUGCAUUCCUCACUCAAUCUUGUGCUGUUGAUUGCAUAUAUUACCAUGUGAACAAGGGCUUGCUCAAGCUUCCACUUCCAGACAGUCAAUUGUUGUUGCCUGGAAUGCCUCCACUUGAGCCUCAA
rnacentral:lncRNA from 1 species